UACGGGGGGAGCAAGCGUUGUUCGGAUUUACUGGGCGUAAAGGGCGCGUAGGCGGCGCAACAAGUCACUUGUGAAAUCUCCGGGCUUAACCCGGAGCGGUCAAGUGAUACUGUCGUGCUAGAGUGCGGAAGGGGCUACUGGAAUUCUCGGUGUAGCGGUGAAAUGCGUAGAUAUCGAGAGGAACACCUGGUGGCGAAAGCGGCGCACUGGACCACAACUGACGCUGGAGGCGACGAAAGCUAGGGGAGCCAAACGGG
rnacentral:rRNA from 1 species